rnacentral:rRNA from 1 species
UGGGGAAUUUUGCGCAAUGGGGGAAACCCUGACGCAGCAACGCCGCGUGAGUGAUGAAGGCUUUCGGGUCGUAAAGCUCUGUCAGAAGGGAAGAAAUGCAGGGGCGCUAAUACCGCCUUUGCUUGACGGUACCUUCAAAGGAAGCACCGGCUAACUCCGUGCCAGCAGCCGCGGUAAUACGGAGGGUGCGAGCGUUGUUCGGAAUUAUUGGGCGUAAAGCGCGUGUAGGCGGUCUUUUAAGUCUGAUGUGAAAGCCCUGGGCUCAACCCAGGAAGCGCAUUUGAAACUGGGGGACGUGAAUACGGGUGAGGGUAGUGGAAGUCCUAGUGUAGGAGUGAAAUCCGUAGAUAUUAGGAGGAACACCGGUGGCGAAGGCGGCUACCUGGACCGAUAUUGACGCUGAGACGCGAAAGCGUGGGGAGCAAACA